rnacentral:rRNA from 1 species
AUUGAAACGCUGGCGGCAGGGCUUAACACAUGCAAGUCGGACGGGUAACAGGAGGUAAGCUUGCUUUCUUUGCUGACGAGUGGCGGACGGGUGAGUAAUGCUUUGGGAAUCUGUUUUAUGGAGGGGGAUAACUACGGGAAACUGUAGCUAAUACCGCGUAAUAUCGAGAGAUUAAAGUGUGGGACCGUAAGGCCACAUGCCAUAGAGUGAGCCCAAGUGGGAUUAGGUAGUUGGUGGGGUAAAGGCCUACCAAGCCGUCGAUCUCUAGCUGGUCUGAGAGGAUGACCAGCCACACUGGGAAUGAGACACGGCCCAGACUCCUACGGGAGGCAGCAGUGGGGAAUAUUGCACAAUGGGCGCAAGCCUGAUGCAGCCAUGCCGCGUGAAUGAAGAAGGCCUUCGGGUUGUAAAGUUCUUUCGGUGGUGAGGAAGGUUGUAAUGUUAAUAGCAUUAUAAUUUGACGUUAGCCACAGAAGAAGCACCGGCUAACUCCGUGCCAGCAGCCGCGGUAAUACGGAGGGUGCGAGCGUUAAUCGGAAUAACUGGGCGUAAAGGGCACGCAGGCGGAUACUUAAGUGAGGUGUGAAAGCCCUGGGCUUAACCUAGGAAUUGCAUUUCAUACUGGGUAUCUAGAGUAUUUUAGGGAGGGGUAGAAUUCCACGUGUAGCGGUGAAAUGCGUAGAGAUGUGGAGGAAUACCGAAGGCGAAGGCAGCCCCUUGGGGGAAUACUGGCGCUCAUGUGCGAAAGCGUGGGGAGCAAACAGG